CCCCAAACAGGCGGAGAAAACCCUUUUCUUAACUUCUUGUUCUUCUUCUUCCAUUGGCAAAAAAGUUGGAUGGGUUUUGGGGUUUUGGAGAAUGAGAUAGUGCUCUUCAAUCAAUAUAGUUAGUUUCCAUUCUCAUUUCAUUGUUUGUUUGUUGCAGAUGCUGCUCUUCGUAAACGGUGUCGUCUCACCUACCGCCCCCCCUUCUCCGGUCACAACCUUGCUUCAAUCAUACCCUGGUGCUUACACAACCUUUAGAACUCAAAACAGCUGUUUAGAAUUGGUGUUCUAUGAAAGGCAUUUGCAAAGGCUUGCUAAUUCUGCAAAGAUUCUUUUCGAAUCAUGCCCGAAACUUCUAUUCCAGCCAGAAAUCAGUUCAACAUCAGCAUACCUGCAACAAAUGAAGUCUAUAGAAUGGGAAUCAAUGAUUCCGUCUUUUGUUAAUGAUUCAAUGACAAAAGCAAUACCCUAUGCACUGAAAGAGAGAAAAGGUGAAACAGAAUUAGCAUUCACUGCUCUCGUCACGGGAAAUUUGGAGAAUUUGAUUCCCGAUAAGAGGGUAGAUGAAGAAGAUAUUAAUAGGGUUUUUGAUAUGCAUCUACAUGUUAGUUUAUAUGAUCCUAUUGUAUUUGGGGUCCGGACAAAUGGUGCUCAUCUGGCUGUUGUGGGCCGCGCUAGGGAUAUUGCAAAUGCGAAGUAUUCGGAUUGGGUGAGGAUUAGGAAACCUUUGGAGAAAUUGAGGCCUCCAUCAGCUACCGAGCUCUUGCUAUCAAAUGAUGGAGAUCAGAUUCUUGAGGGUUGUUUGACAAAUUUUUUUGUUCUUUCUCGUAAGGAUGAUAUAGAAGAAGACAGUGAAUAUGCAGAAAAUGAAUUACGAAAAAACAAAUAUGGCUAUUCUCUUGAAUUACAAACAGCUCCGAUAAGUGAUGGUGUUCUUCCAGGAGUAGUGCGGGAAGUGGUCAUUGAGGGCCAUGUGAAUGCCACUUUUGUUUUACAGGGUAUGUUUGAAAAUUGGAAUCCCAAUACGAGAAGUUGCCCCAUCGUGGUCCAAACGUCACUUGUGGGAAGAAGCGUUUAUUACGAGUACGCUCUUUACUCCAAAGGUUCUAUUGUGAAGUGGGAUAACAUAUAGCAAUCGUUUUGCAAAACAUUGGCAAAAACAGCUUAAGGCUUUUGCAGCAUGUGGAAACAAUUCGAGUUCCGAGUUCGUGGAACUCACUGAGUUCUAAGACCUGGAAGGAGGUAACAUGGGAGGAGAAACAAUUUGAGGAGGGUCCUGGAAGCAUAACUGCUAUAAUCCAGAAGGAAGUCUUGAAGAUGGCAAAGCUUGAAGACCACUCUGUCAAAUCAUUUCUUAAGUGAUGUAAUUAGAUCAAUGUGUGUUCUUUUAGUUUUUCUAUUUUUUACUGUAGUAGUUAUGACCGUACAAACCUUUUUUACGGAGUUGAGAUAUGUUUGUUUUUUUGUCA